AUUGAACGCUGGCGGCAGGCUUAACACAUGCAAGUCGAGCGGAGAUGAGGUGCUUGCACCUUAUCUUAGCGGCGGACGGGUGAGUAAUGCUUAGGAAUCUGCCUAUUAGUGGGGGACAACAUUCCGAAAGGAAUGCUAAUACCGCAUACGUCCUACGGGAGAAAGCAGGGGAUCUUGUGACCUUGCGCUAAUAGAUGAGCCUAAGUCGGAUUAGCUAGUUGGUGGGGUAAAGGCCUACCAAGGCGACGAUCUGUAGCGGGUCUGAGAGGAUGAUCCGCCACACUGGGACUGAGACACGGCCCAGACUCCUACGGGAGGCAGCAGUGGGGAAUAUUGGACAAUGGGGGGAACCCUGAUCCAGCUAUGCCGCGUGUGUGAAGAAGGCCUUAUGGUUGUAAAGCACUUUAAGCGAGGAGGAGGCUCUUUUGGUUAAUACCCAAGAUGAGUGGACGUUACUCGCAGAAUAAGCACCGGCUAACUCUGUGCCAGCCGCCGCGGUAA
rnacentral:rRNA from 1 species